CAGAGGGUGCGAGCGUUGUCCGGAAUCACUGGGCGUAAAGGGCGCGUAGGUGGCGGCCCAAGUCCAUGGUGAAAGCUCGAUGCUCAACAUCGAGUCGGCCACGGAUACUGGGUUGCUCGAGCACUGUAGAGGCAGAUGGAAUUCCGGGUGUAGCGGUGGAAUGCGUAGAGAUCCGGAAGAACACCGGUGGCGAAGGCGGUCUGCUGGGCAGUAGCUGACACUGAGGCGCGACAGCGUGGGGAGCAAACAGGAUUAGAUACCCUGGUAGUCCACGCCGUAAACGAUGGGCACUAGAUGCUUGGGGGAGCGACCCCCUGAGUGUCGUCGCUAACGCAGUAAGUGCCCCGCCUGGGGAGUACGGCCGCAAGGCUG
rnacentral:rRNA from 1 species